AGCGGAGGAAAAGAAACCAACAGGGAUUGCCUCAGUAGCGGCGAGUGAAGCGGCAAAAGCUCAAAUUUGAAAUCUGGCGUCUUUGGCGUCCGAGUUGUAAUUUGAAGAAGGUAUCUUUGGGCCCGGCUCUUGUCUAUGUUCCUUGGAACAGGACGUCACAGAGGGUGAGAAUCCCGUGCGAUGAGAUGACCCGGGUCUGUGUAAAGUUCCUUCGACGAGUCGAGUUGUUUGGGAAUGCAGCUCUAAGUGGGUGGUAAAUUCCAUCUAAAGCUAAAUAUUGGCGAGAGACCGAUAGCGAACAAGUACAGUGAUGGAAAGAUGAAAAGAACUUUGAAAAGAGAGUGAAAAAGUACGUGAAAUUGUUGAAAGGGAAGGGCUUGAGAUCAGACUUGGUAUUUUGCAUGCUGCUCUCUCGGGGGCGGCCGCUGCGGUUUACCGGGCCAGCAUCGGUUUGGAGCGGCAGGAUAAUGGCGGAGGAAUGUGGCACGGCUUCUGCUGUGUGUUAUAGCCUCUGACGAUACUG
rnacentral:rRNA from 1 species